GCUGGCUGCCACAUGGGAAGGGUCUCUAUUUGGAGAUCACUUCCUUGGGAGUGUUUGAUGAGCCCUGAUCCUUGGAAAAGGAGACAUAGCUGUAUAAAGAUUCAGUGACUGUGUUGUCAUACUUCUGUGAAGAUGCGAAAAUGGACCAGCUCUGCCAGACCAGUCCUCUGGAGUGUUCUGCGUUAAUGAGAACAUGUCAACCUAAAGCCACAUGACUGUGGGUUAGGCGAUGGUUUGAGGUCUCUUAGUUCAAAUACAUGGACAAAAGAUAUUUCUAUUCUCCAGGAAAAAUACGUAUAUGGAUUUUGAGCUGCAUAAAUGCAGAACUACAGCAUUACUGAACUCUUUAUUGCAAAAAUUCAUAUUAUACCUACAAAAAGAUUAAAAACGGAGCAGUGCUUUUUCCUGUGGUCUAGUUAGUAAGUAUUCUUACAAAUGAAAUUCUUCAAAUAGUCCCCCCAAAUAAAAAACUUGUUUAUUAAAAAAAAAAUCUAUCUUUUUGUGUAAAAAUGAUUUAUUAAAUUGGCGUGUGUAGUCAUUUGUCCAGUUUAGAUAACUUUUCCGCUGUCAUUUUUGCCUUCCAAGAGGCUUUUUGAUGAAUUUCUCAUGAAUUCUAUUCAAUAGCUAUUUGAAGUACUUUGUUUUAUUCCAUGAAGGAAAAAGUGUUCUGUUCCUGUAAAUCUUGCAAUUAGAGAAGGAGAAUAUUGUUUCCUUCAUGUGAAGGUGAUAACUGUUCAAAAAUUUCAAUAUCAAUGAUUAUAUUACUGCUUAAAUUAAUAUUCUCAAUACAUACUGCCUUUCAACUUUACAAAAUGUGUGGGACAAUCACACAUCGGUUGGAUACUUGAACACUACGGUGGCAUCUUCAUAUGAUGUACUGCAAGAAAAUGAAAGAACUCCAGAAAUAUAUUCCUCUUAGUAUGUUAUCUGUUCAUGGUAUUUCUGUUCUACUUCAUUAGGUAAUAAUUUCUAUAUUAAACUAUGUUUUGAGCUAUGUUGAAUGUCAAGAAGUGUUCUUAUGUUACCUUGGGGAGAAGCAUUAUUGUAUUAUACACAAAGGUAAUUGUUUGUAAAUGAUAUUAAGACUUGUGAAGUGCAGCGGACCUUACUUUUGUCCUUAGGCUCCUCAGAUGCAAUGAUAACAAUAUGACAGAAUAGUAUGGAACCAUAUUAAAGCAUCAGUGUGAUGUUUGAGUUUGAAACAUUAGAACUAGGGUACUCAGAACUCUGUUUUGGGACGUGAAGUACCAGGAGGAAGGAAUCCAUGCCGAGACAUCAUCUAGGAAUCUUGAUGAAAAGAAGGAAAUAAUGUUUUCUUCCACGUCGGAGCUCUGUGUUUUAAUGUUGCUUCAUCUGUAUGAUAGCAAUGAGAAAUAAAUUAGAGCAUAUCAUACACUGCAACCUGACUGGGAAUGAAUUGGCACCUGGUUGGUGUAGAGCUGAUAACAGAGCUCAGUGAGGACUCAAUUCACUUGAAUAAACAUAGACGUCAGUGCAGUGUGAAACACCACUGAGUGAUUUUUACAGAACAUGUAGCAUGAUACUGUAGCAUGUCUCCAGCAAAAUAGACUGGUUGUAAGUAAA